GCCUCAAUCACUUAUUCCAUUGGGAAAGACGGAGCUGGAGCUGUAUAUCAAAAGCAACGCAAGCAGGAGCAACACGGACCCACGGAACCAAAAUAAUGGCUUGGAUUUUAUACUAUACAGCGUCUGUUCUCUUUGGAAUUGUCACUUUGACUUCUACAGCGCGGAUUUAUCCGUCUAACGAAGUUACGUUACUGGACUCCAGAUCUGUACAAGGGGAACUAGGAUGGGUAGCAAGUCCCACAGAAGGAGGGUGGGAAGAAGUAAGCAUCAUGGAUGAGAAAAACACACCCAUUCGAACGUACCAAGUGUGCAAUGUGAUGGAACCCAAUCAGAAUAACUGGCUUCGAACUGACUGGAUACCCCGAGGUGGGGCACAGAGAGUGUAUAUUGAAAUAAAGUUUACACUUCGAGACUGUAACAGUUUGCCCGGUGUCAUGGGAACCUGCAAGGAGACCUUUAACCUUUAUUAUUAUGAGUCCAAUAAUGACAAAGAACGUUACAUCCGGGAGAACCAAUUUGGAAAGAUUGACACCAUUGCUGCAGAUGAGAGCUUCACCCAGGUGGAUAUUGGAGACAGGAUCAUGAAGUUGAACACUGAAGUGCGAGAUGUAGGACCGCUGACCAGGAAGGGUUUUUAUUUGGCCUUUCAAGAUGUGGGAGCUUGCAUAGCCUUGGUCUCUGUUCGGGUGUUUUACAAGAAGUGCCCUCUGACUGUCCGAAACUUGGCUCAAUUCCCUGACACCAUCACUGGAGCUGACACCUCCUCUUUGGUGGAAGUGCGUGGCUCCUGUGUUAACAACUCAGAGGAAAAAGAUGUGCCAAAGAUGUACUGUGGUGCAGAUGGCGAAUGGCUAGUGCCUAUCGGAAAUUGUUUGUGCAAUCCUGGCUACGAGGAACGCAAUGGAGAGUGCCAGGCCUGUAAAAGUGGAUACUACCGAGCCCUGUCCACCGACUCUGGCUGUUCAAAGUGUCCAUUGCACAGUUAUUCUAUCCGGGAAGGAUCUACAGCAUGCACUUGUGACAAGGGCUUCUUCAGGGCGGAAAGUGACCCUGCAUCCAUGCCCUGCACUAGGCCUCCUUCUGCACCACUGAACCUUAUCUCAAAUGUUAAUGAGACCUCAGUCAACUUGGAGUGGAGCACCCCUCAGUAUACUGGUGGCCGUCCUGAUGUGACCUACAAUGUGGUUUGCAAGCGCUGUGGUCCAGACCAAUCUCGCUGCCGGCCUUGUGGGAGUGGUGUUCAAUUUAUUCCUCAGCAGGCUGGCCUCAAGAACACUAAGGUCUCCAUCACAGAUCUUCAAGCCCAUACCAACUACACCUUUGAAAUUUGGGCAGUGAAUGGUGUCUCCAAGCAAAAUCCCAGCCCUGAGCAAGCCGUCUCUGUUACUGUCACAACUAACCAAGCUGCUCCAUCCAUGAUCAGUAAUAUUCAAGCCAAAGACAUAACAAGGCAUACUGUUUCUCUUAUCUGGCCUGAGCCUGAGAGGCCUAAUGGGGUCAUCCUAGAAUAUGAAGUCAAGUAUUAUGAAAAGGAUCAGAAUGAGCGCAGCUAUCGAAUCAUUAAAACUUCAUUACGGAGUACUGACAUAAAAGGUCUCAAUCCCUUGACCUCUUACAUGUUUCACGUUCGUGCUCGAACUGCAGCAGGCUACGGAGAGUUUAGCGGGCCAUUUGAAUUUAUGACCAACUCAGUGCCCUCUGCAAUCAUUGGAGAUGGCGCCAAUCCCACAGUGCUGUUGGUUUCAGUUGCUGGAAGUGCUGCAUUGCUAGUCAUUCUCAUUGCCGCUUUUAUAAUCAGCAGAAGACGCAGCAAAUACAGCAAAGCAAAGCAAGAAUCUGAUGAAGAGAAGCAUUUGCACCAAGGUGUGAGAACGUAUGUAGAUCCCUUCACCUAUGAAGACCCCAACCAGGCUGUCCGUGAGUUUGCCAAGGAAAUUGAUGCUUCUUGCAUAAAGAUUGAAAAAGUAAUAGGUGUGGGUGAAUUUGGAGAAGUAUGCAGCGGACGGCUGAAGAUGCCAGGCAAAAGAGAGAUAUGUGUGGCCAUCAAGACCCUAAAGGCUGGCUACACAGAAAAGCAGAGGCGUGACUUCUUGAGUGAGGCCAGCAUCAUGGGGCAAUUUGAUCAUCCAAAUAUAAUCCACCUGGAGGGUGUAGUGACAAAAUGUAAACCUGUAAUGAUUAUAACAGAAUACAUGGAGAAUGGCUCUUUGGAUGCAUUUCUCAGAAAAAAUGAUGGAAGGUUCACUGUCAUCCAGCUCGUUGGAAUCCUACGUGGAAUUGCAUCAGGAAUGAAGUAUCUCUCAGACAUGAGUUAUGUCCACCGGGAUCUUGCCGCAAGAAAUAUUCUUGUUAACAGUAACUUAGUUUGCAAAGUUUCUGAUUUCGGGAUGUCCAGAGUACUAGAGGAUGACCCAGAAGCAGCAUAUACCACUCGGGGUGGCAAAAUUCCAAUUCGAUGGACUGCACCUGAAGCCAUCGCCUAUCGUAAAUUUACUUCCUCGAGUGACGUUUGGAGUUAUGGAAUUGUGAUGUGGGAGGUGAUGUCCUAUGGAGAGAGGCCUUACUGGGAUAUGUCUAAUCAAGACGUAAUUAAAGCAAUAGAGGAAGGCUACCGUCUCCCUCCCCCCAUGGACUGCCCCGUGGCUUUACAUCAACUGAUGUUGGAUUGCUGGCAGAAAGAGCGAAGUGAUAGACCUAAGUUUGGGCAAAUUGUCAACAUGCUGGACAAACUGAUCCGCAACCCUAACAGCCUGAAGAGGACGGGUGCCGAGAACACAAGGCCGAACACAACUCUCCUCGAUCCCAGCAGUCCUGAAUUUUCCUCAGUAGGCACUGUGGCGGAAUGGCUGCAGGCUAUCAGCAUGGAAAGGUAUCAAGACAACUUCACGGCAGCCGGGUACACUAGUCUAGAGGCUGUGGUGCUAAUGAACCAAGAUGACCUGGCCAGAAUUGGAAUCACGGCGGCAACACAACAGAGCAUGAUUCUGAAUAGCGUUCAAGGAAUGAGGAGCCAAAUGCAACAGAUGCAAGGCCGGAUGGUUCCUGUUUGAACUGCUGCUGAAAAAACUCAAAACUCUCUCAAGAAAAUAAUAAUAUUAAAAAGAAAAAAAAUUAGUUUACCUCAUCCAUGCACUUUAAAUUGAAUAUCAAAAGAAAGGAUAUGGCACUUUUAACUCUUCACCUUGGCCCUUUGAAUUACGAGGAUUUUUUUUAAUCUCUCUGUCUGAUGGGCAAGCAAAUGGAGGUUUCUCCUUCAAGGGCCACAGCGUUGGGUGAACCUACAGCUAAAUGGUGGAAGCAGGGACAGCAUUCUCGUCAGCUUGUCGUUGUGUUUUGGUGAACCAACCAUGAACAUUAUUUGUAAAUGUUUAUUUCUGCUUUGCUGCCAUACGUUGUGUUUCACAGAACUUUAAAACACGAUUGCUUUUUUUUAUUUUUCUUUUUUGGAACGGAAGCUCCAGCACGUUUCUAGAAUGAAAAGCAUUUCCUCAGGACAUUCAGAAAAGUCUUACCGCCUGGCUUCAAGUCCUUUGCCGUUUUUCCUGUGGUGGAGUUGGAUUAACUUGGCUCAUGGAAUGUAAUAAAAAAAAAAAAAAACUCUUUAUAGACAGAAAGAGAAGCUUGAAACAUGUGGGAAGCAGCCAGGUACCCUUUGUGAAAGAACAUUUGUUGGACAUCACAAGGGUCAAAGCCAUCCAUCUGCUUGUGGCCUGCACGUUCAAACCCCUGCUGACUGGAUAGCUUGGCACUGAAAUCGCAAAGUACCGUCCUUAUUAUAAGAUGAGAAGGAACACUAAUCCAACUGCCUGGGCCUAUCGACUCCAGAGCCCCACAUUUGAUGCAAUUUUCUUUUUUUUUUUCUUUUUCUUUUUCUUAAAGGGAAUAUAUAAAUCAAGAGCAAAAUGAUAAAAGCAAAAUAUGUCUUACCCCAAAGGAGCCAGCUUGACUUUUGGAUCCUGGGGCGGCACUAGCAAGCUAACAGCAAGAAUCCCCAAAGAGCCAAAGUUCAGCAAAGAAACUAAAAAAAAAAAAAAAAAAAAAAGAAAGAAAUUGUAUCUAAAGUUCAGUGUCUAUUUUAGAAAUUGCACCAGAGGAAUGUAACACAAAAGAAAGAAAACAUUGCAAACUUCACUGGUUUUUCUCUUGUGUCAGUUUCUUUGCAUGUCAAUGCGCCUUUUUUUUUUUGAAGAUGUGUCAUGACUGUUAGUUUCAAGGAAAAAGAAAAAAAGAAAAAAAACAGUCAUUUAUGCUGCAUUGAUAAAACCUUCCUUGGAAUUAUCAAGUCAAUUUGUGCCAUUAUUAAAUAAAAACGAAGCCUUGAUGUGUGUGUGUGGAUCAAUAUGACAUUAUUAGUGCUUCAUCUGCCUUCAGACUGAUUCAAUUGGAAUGGAUCUAAAGCUUCCCUGCCUCCUUCUCUUUGUGUGCCAACUCUUCAUGGAAGCACCUACAGUGCCUGCUUGUUUUAUAGCGCUGGUAGGCAGACGAAGCGCCAGGAGUAGCAAAAUGGCUGGGGAACAGGGAGGCUGGGAGGACAGGGUGCUCAAGUAAGCCACUUCAAGUGGACUGGGGGGGAUCAGGGAGAAACCUCGGGUGUUGCUUGUGUUUAAACCAAAUGUCUUCAAAGACACCUUCCAACCUGACCGUUCGUCAUAUUGAUGCGUUUAUUGUUCAUUUUCACAUUUUCAAACGUUGGCUGUCCUAAAACCCAAGUCACAGCUGUUUUUUUACUCCCAACACUUCUUUACCAAUGUGAUUGUAAUAUGCAAAGACUAUGAAAUAAAAAAUAGAAUGUACUGUAUGACUCCUUUUAAUUUCGGGUUAACACUGGUUCCUAACAAAAUGUUUUGUUUUGUUUUGGUUUU